rnacentral:rRNA from 1 species
AGUGAACGCUGGCGGUAGGCCUAACACAUGCCAGUCGAACGGCAGCACAGUAAGAGCUUGCUCUUACGGGUGGCGAGUGGCGGACGGGUGAGGAAUACAUCGGAAUCUACUUUUUCGUGGGGGAUAACGUAGGGACACUUACGCUAAUACCGCAUACGACCUACGGGUGAAAGCAGGGGAUCUUCGGACCUUGCGCGAUUGAAUGAGCCGAUGUCGGAUUAGCUAGUUGGCGGGGUAAAGGCCCACCAAGGCGACGAUCCGUAGCUGGUCUGAGAGGAUGAUCAGCCACACUGGAACUGAGACACGGUCCAGACUCCUACGGGAGGCAGCAGUGGGGAAUAUUGGACAAUGGGCGCAAGCCUGAUCCAGCCAUACCGCGUGGGUGAAGAAGGCCUUCGGGUUGUAAAGCCCUUUUGUUGGGAAAGAAAAGCAGCAGGUUAAUACCCCGCUGUUCUGACGGUACCCAAAGAAUAAGCACCGGCUAACUUCGUG